AUACGGAGGGUGCAAGCGUUACUCGGAAUCACUGGGCGUAAAGCGCGCGCAGGCGGCUUGAUAAGUUGGAUGUGAAAGCCUACGGCUCAACCGUAGAACUGCAUCCAAAACUGUCAGGCUAGAGUGUGGGAGAGGAAGAUGGAAUUAGUUGUGUAGGGGUAAAAUCCGUAGAGAUAACUAGGAAUACCAAAAGCGAAGGCAAUCUUCUGGAACACUACUGACGCUGAGGCGCGAAGGCGUGGGGAGCAAACAGAAUUAGAAACCCCGGUAGUCC
rnacentral:rRNA from 1 species